GAUGAACGCUGGCGGCGUGCCUAAUACAUGCAAGUCGAGCGAACGGACGAGAAGCUUGCUUCUCUGAUGUUAGCGGCGGACGGGUGAGUAACACGUGGAUAACCUACCUAUAAGACUGGGAUAACUUCGGGAAACCGGAGCUAAUACCGGAUGAUAUUUUGAACCGCAUGGUUCAAAAGUGAAAGACGGUCUUGCUGUCACUUAUAGAUGGAUCCGCGCUGCAUUAGCUAGUUGGUAAGGUAACGGCUUACCAAGGCAACGAUGCAUAGCCGACCUGAGAGGGUGAUCGGCCACACUGGAACUGAGACACGGUCCAGACUCCUACGGGAGGCAGCAGUAGGAAAUCUUCCGCAAUGGGCGAAAGCCUGACGGAGCAACGCCGCGUGAGUGAUGAAGGUCUUCGGAUCGUAAAACUCUGUUAUUAGGGAAGAACAUAUGUGUAAGUAACUGUGCACAUCUUGACGGUACCAAAUCAGAAAGCCACGGCUAACUACGUG
rnacentral:rRNA from 1 species